GGAAGCGUGGCAGAGCGGUUUAAUGCUACAGUCUUGAAAACUGUCGUGGAUUUACGUCCACCGUGAGUUCGAAUCUCACCGCUUCCGCCA
rnacentral:tRNA from 2 species